rnacentral:rRNA from 1 species
AAAGAGCUCGUAGGUGGUUCGUCACGUCGGAUGUGAAACUCUGGGGCUUAACCCCAGACCUGCAUUCGAUACGGGCGAGCUUGAGUAUGGUAGGGGAGUCUGGAAUUCCUGGUGUAGCGGUGGAAUGCGCAGAUAUCAGGAGGAACACCAAUGGCGAAGGCAGGACUCUGGGCCAUUACUGACACUGAGGAGCGAAAGCGUGGGGAGCGAACAGGAUUAGAUACCCUGGUAGUCCACGCCGUAAACGGUGGGCACUAGUUGUGGGGACCUUCCACGGUCUCUGCGACGCAGCUAACGCAUUAAGUGCCCCGCCUGGGGAGUACGAUCGCCAGAAUUAAAACUCAAAGGAAUUGACGGGGCCCCGCACAAGCAGCGGAGCAUGCGGCUUAAUUCGACGCAACGCGAAGAACCUUACCAAGGCUUGACAUAUACAGGAAUAUGGCAGAGAUGUCAUAGCCGCAAGGUCUGUAUACAGGUGGUGCAUGGUUGUCGUCAGCUCGUGUCGUGAGAUGUUGGGUUAAGUCCCGCAACGAGCGCAACCCUCGUUCUGUGUUGCCAGCAUUUAGUUGGGGACUCACAGGAGACUGCCGGGGUUAACUCGGAGGAAGGUGGGGAUGACGUCAAAUCAUCAUGCCCCUUAUGUCUUGGGCUGCACGCAUGCUACAAUGGCUGGUACAAACGGCUGCGAUACCGCAAGGUGGAGCGAAUCCGAUAAAGCCAGUCUCAGUUCGGAUUGGGGUCUGCAACUCGACCCCAUGAAGUCGGAGUUGCUAG